GACGGGGGGGGGCAAGUGUUCUUCAGAAUGACUGGGCGUAAAGGGCACGUAGGUGGUGAAUCGGGUUGAAAGUGAAAGUCACCAAAAAGUGGCGGAAUGCUCUCGAAACCAAUUCACUUGAGUGAGACAGAGGAGAGUGGAAUUUCGUGUGUAGGGGUGAAAUCCGUAGAUCUACGAAGGAACGCCAAAAGCGAAGGCAGCUCUGUGGGUCCCUACCGACGCUGGGGUGCGAAAGCAUGGGGAGCGAACAGG
rnacentral:rRNA from 1 species